UGGAAGUAAAAAUCGUAACAAGGUCUCCGUUGGUGAACCAGCGGAGGGAUCAUUACCGAGUUUACAACUCCCAAACCCAAUGUGAACGUUACCAAACUGUUGCCUCGGCGGGAUCUCUGCCCCGGGUGCGUCGCAGCCCCGGACCAAGGCGCCCGCCGGAGGACCAACCAAAACUCUUAUUGUAUACCCCCUCGCGGGUUUUUUUUAUAAUCUGAGCCUUCUCGGCGCCUCUCGUAGGCGUUUCGAAAAUGAAUCAAAACUUUCAACAACGGAUCUCUUGGUUCUGGCAUCGAUGAAGAACGCAGCGAAAUGCGAUAAGUAAUGUGAAUUGCAGAAUUCAGUGAAUCAUCGAAUCUUUGAACGCACAUUGCGCCCGCCAGUAUUCUGGCGGGCAUGCCUGUCCGAGCGUCAUUUCAACCCUCGAACCCCUCCGGGGGGUCGGCGUUGGGGAUCGGCCCUGCCUUGGCGGUGGCCGUCUCCGAAAUACAGUGGCGGUCUCGCCGCAGCCUCUCCUGCGCAGUAGUUUGCACACUCGCAUCGGGAGCGCGGCGCGUCCACAGCCGUUAAACACCCAACUUCUGAAAUGUUGACCUCGGAUCAGGUAGGAAUACCCGCUGAACUUAAGCAUAUCAAUAAGCCGGGAGGAA
rnacentral:rRNA from 1 species